UACAGAGGCCUCGAGCGUUAGGCGGAAUCACUGGGCUUAAAGCGUGUGUAGGCGGAUGCCUAAGUGCUUUGUGAAAUCCCACGGCUCAACCGUGGAAUUGCUUGGCAUACUGGGUGUCUUGAGCCAUCUAGGGGCGAGCGGAACAAGUGGUGGAGCGGUGAAAUGCGUAGAUAUCACUUGGAACGCCAACGGUGAAAACGGCUCGCUGGGGAUGUGCUGACGCUGAGACACGAAAGCCAGGGGAGCGAACGGG
rnacentral:rRNA from 1 species